UUUUAAAAAAAUAAAAAGUCACCCUUUCGUUAAGCAAACAAGAUGGCCAUCUUUACCCUUUUUUCACUAAGGUGGGCGAGGAAAGGAUUCGUCAGGAAACAGUGCCGGAUUACCGAACAGUCACUGGCCCAUGGCUCCCCACGAGAACAAGUCAAAAUAAUAUUUAUUUGAUCUUGAAAGAAAAUUACAAAAAUGUAUUAGGAGAUAAUUUGCAAUGCGCCCCCCUCCCACUCCAAGAUUUCGACUGCCUGGGGGCCUCCACAGGGUUUAAUCUGGCAUUGGCAGGAAAUUCCAGAAGGAACUAUGGAGACUGAAGAAUCACUCAUUUACAGCCCCCUCUCCACUGACAUGCCUUGGAAGAAAAGUAUUUUUUUUUAAAAAACAAACUAUUAGAUUCAAAGGUUAGUUAGCUCAAAUAUUUCCAACAGGAGAGAACUUAUCCAGCUUUGCUUUAAGGACAGAAUCACAAAGAAAUUGGUUGGUUUUUCAGCUAUUUCUGAGGGAAAUUGGCAAAAACGGCACUCCCGGACAUUCCACCGAAUUCCGCCCGGACACUGCUUGAGGCUGCAGGAUUCCAGAUAGGUCCAGAAAAUUCCGGACGUAUGGCAACCCUACGCACAUCCCUAGCAAGCGCACGUCAUAACUCCAACAAAAGAUCCUAAAUCUCUCAGCUGGCUACACACAGGGCGUUGUGAGUUGUUGGACCCUGCCCUGCUUUCCUUUGAUGGCUCUCAAGUGAUAAAAGGAGGCAAUAUCUGUCAGAUGAAGAGUAGAGUCCAGAGAUUCAAACUGAAGACAGCCUUACAUGGAACCUGAAACCUGCAAAGCAUGAAAGAGAGCCUCAUAUGUGUAUCGGCUACCUCUUUACACUUUCCUUCUGAAGUGUGUAACUCAAUACAGGCUCUAUCCAUGGGUCAAACAGCAGCGGAUUCCCUCCCUUCCGUCUAUAAUUCCCACACUUGUUUUGUUUACCAUAUCGUUUGAUUAAGAGUCCCAAAGAAAUCAAAAGCUUGUGUGCUAUUUUGUAAUGUUUUGG